UGAUAAUAAUAGUGUGCAACCCUGCACUCUCAAAAGACCGCUCAAAACACAUAAUUUCCAUCCAACACCAGGAAUAACAGACCUCUCUCCAACCAAUCUGAAUUCACAAAAUUUCUAUAAUCACAGACUUUAUUUGUGCAAACACACACAUCUCUCAAUAAAUAACAAUCAUAACCUUUCAAUAACUCCUUAUAUAAUUCAAUCACUCAGUACUCCAAUUACAUAAUCAAUAACUCAUAAAUUAAUCUAUGAUUUAUUCCAUAGACUCACUUCUCAGUAUACAAAAACUAUCCAUUACUUUUCAACAAAAAA
rnacentral:lncRNA from 1 species